rfam:Turicibacter sp. H121, complete genome.
UGUGGAAAGAAGAAGUACCCACUUCUCACCUGAUUAGCUAGAGCUGAUAGGUUAAACGUCACUAUCGUUACGACGAUAUUGUUAAUGUGAUUGUGAUUUAAACGUGGGCGCUUACUAAGUGCUUACGUUUUUCUUUUUUU